rnacentral:lncRNA from 1 species
GGGCGGGAGGGCGGUGGACUCCCAAGCCCGGGGCGGGUCCCGGCAGGUCAAAAUCCCUCUUGUAGAUGAGGACACCCAAGGCCUCCACCUAUGUGGGCCUGGGGGCUGCGAGUGGAAUGUGGGAACAGACGGGCACCACCUUGCCUUGGCCCAGGGAGAAGGUUUAAAAAGUAAUAGAAGGGGCUUCCCUGGUGGCUCAGUGGUAAAGAAUCCGCCUGCCAAUGCAGAAGACACUGGUUUGAUCCCUGGUCCUGGAUGAUCCCACAUCCUAUGGAGCAACUUAGCCUGUGUGCCACAACUAUUGAGACUGUGCUCUGGAAUAAAAGUCACAGCACUGAAAAGCCGAGUGUCACAACGGGAGAGUAGUCCCUGCUUGCAGCAACUAAAAAACUCCCUACACAGCAAUGAAGACUCAGUACAGCCAAAAAUAAAUAGGUAAGUUUAGCGACCCCAUAGACUGCAGCCCACCAGGCUCCUCCAUCCAUGGGAUUUUCCAGGCAAGAGUACCGGAGUGGGGUGCCAUUGCCCUCUCCGUUUUAAAAAGUAAUAGACCUCAAAUCUCAUCUUGUAGCCUACAGAACUGGUAUCAUCUUCAAGCAGUUGUCCUUUUACUCACUGACUGAGUGCCCUCUGUGUAGCAGGCCCCAGGUGAGAUGCAGCAGACAGGGCAGUGAUGUAAACAGUUUGGACCU